rnacentral:lncRNA from 1 species
GAUUGUUCAGAGCAAAACACUGUGCAAUCAAUUGGAGAUAACAGAGGCCCAGGGGUCAGGCGGGCUGCCCAGAGCAUCUUUCAUCUUUGACUUAUAUUGGUAGGGUGUAAAGUGUGGCAUCAGCCUGGCCUGCCUCACGGUCAAUGGCUGCCUUGUUCUGCCCUCCAUUUAUCUGCCAUCUCUCUGAUGUCACAGGUUUCAUUUGGGUAGCUGACUUCAAAGGUGCUUUUCAAAUUUUUUUAAUUUUUCUAUUUCAGGGAUAAUAGCCCAGCUUUUCAGAAGCAUUUUGCUCUGCAAUCAAAUCAAAUAUUCUUAAACGGACAGGGCCAAGUCAACCCAGCCCAGGCAAAGAGGAUCCCAAAAGAUUGCCAAAAACCUGGUGCCAGCUCUGACAGAUGGACAAAGCAUCUGCUCUCGGCUCUGAAGAGAGUUUUCUCAUCCAAGACCCUCAGUGAAAGACUGAACUCAUGAUUCUUCAGAAGCUUAAACGUGCUCUGUAAUCUCAAGUAUUUAAAACCAGAAGAAGUAGCCAACUGCUCAACAUCUUCAUUUCAUCUUGAGUUCUCACCAGGAAGACUUUUCUGAUUUGAAUCUAGACAAAGCAAGACUUAUCUUCAAAUCAGACCCAGCCUGAACUUGCCCUGAAGAUGUAUCAAAGUCCUGCAAAUGGCUCUACAUUUUCUGCAACUUGCGUCAUUUCGUAGAAUUGUGGUGAAUAUCCCCAGGGCAGAAGAGCAGGCAGAGGUUCUCAUAAGCACUGCUGAAGAAUUCUUAUAAUGAAAUAAAUAAAAAUGCUUUACCUCUUUCUCU